UUUAACUUGGCAGAUAAAUGCGCUUGAUUUAGAAUCAAUUUAUAACUUUUGUUAGUUUCAAAA
rnacentral:tRNA from 1 species